AGAGAAUUCCCUGCCAAAUUUGAUAUAGAGAGGACUUUUUUCAACACAAAACCACUGUCAAGUGCUCAGAUAGAAUUCUGAUUUUUUUUUCCUGACUCUCACAAGCAGACAUUUUUUUUCACUUCAUUCAUUCAACAAAUAUAUUUUUGAAUGCCAGACACAUCCCAGGCACUGUUCUAGGCACUGCAGUAAACAAAGCUGACUGAGUGAUAGAUGCAGAAAAUAACCCAGAGAAAGGAGAUAUUAUAACAUUGCAAGAGGAUGAUAUUUAUUAAGGGGUAACCAAGAAAGACCACUAUGCAAAGUUGACAAUUAUGCUGAUGCCUGAAGGAAGGAAGCAAACAAAGAAGAUUUCUCAUUCUGGCUAGAGAGAAAAUGGCUAUGUGAGGAUGCACUUUCCCCAUUUUACAGAUGAUCAAACUAAAAGCCAGGGAGUUUGAGUGAGUUAAGUGGCAGAAGACCUGGCAUGAAGACUUCUGAUUUAGUUUUUUCUGGCUGUAGUCAGAGAGACAUGUGACUACAGAAGAAUGGUCACAGAAAUGCAACAUUACUGGUUUUGAAGACAGAGGAAGCUUCUAGAAACUGGAACAAGCAAUGAAAUGAACUCUCGUUAAGCCUUCAGAAAGAAACAGCCCUGCUAUACUUUGAUUUUAGCCCAGUGAGACCCACACUGGAAUUCUGAUCUAUAGAACUGCAAAGAGAAUAAAUGUGUUGUUUGAA